rnacentral:rRNA from 1 species
UGGGGAAUCUUCCGCAAUGGACGAAAGUCUGACGGAGCAACGCCGCGUGAGUGAAGACGGCCUUCGGGUUGUAAAGCUCUGUGAUCCGGGACGAAAGAGCCUGAGGUGAAUAGCCUAAGGAAGUGACGGUACCGGAAAAGCAAGCCACGGCUAACUACGUGCCAGCAGCCGCGGUAAUACGUAGGUGGCAAGCGUUGUCCGGAAUUAUUGGGCGUAAAGCGCGCGCAGGCGGCUUCCUAAGUCCAUCUUAAAAGUGCGGGGCUUAACCCCGUGAUGGGAUGGAAACUGGGAAGCUGGAGGAUCGGAGAGGAAAGUGGAAUUCCUAGUGGAGGGGUGAAAUGCGUAGAGAUUAGGAAGGACACCGGUGGCGAAGGCGACUUUCUGGACGAAAACUGACGCUGAGGCGCGAAAGCGUGGGGAGCAAACAGG